GAGGGCACAAGGAGAAGGGGACGACAGAGGACGAGAUGGCUGGACAGUGUUCUCGAAGCUACAAACAUGAGCCUGACCAAACUGUGGGAGGCAGUGGAACACAGGAGUGCCUGGCGUGCUCUGGUCCAUGGGGUCAUGAAGAGUCGGACACGACUAAACGACUAAACAACAAGUACAGUGGUGCCCCGCAAGACGAAUGCCUCGCAAGACGGAAAAACCGCUAGACGAAAGGGUUUUCCGUUUUGAAGUUGCUUCGCAGGACGAAUUCCCCUAUGGGCUUGCUUCGCAAGACGAAAAUACCUUGCGAGUCCUGAGAUUUUUUUUUCGCUUUCCCCCCCCUUUAUCUAAUCUGCUAAGCCUUUAAUAGCCUUUAAUAGCCUUUUAGCAGCUAAUCCCCUAAGCCUUUAAGCCUUUAAUAGCCGCUAAACAGCUGAUAGCGCUAAUAGCGCUAAUCCGUCAAUGGGCUUGCUUCGCAAGACGAAAAAACCGCUAGACGAAGACUCUUGCGGAACGGAUUAAUUUCGUCUUGCGAGGCACCACUGUAUUGUA